UGGGGAAUAUUGGGCAAUGGGGGCAACCCUGACCCAGCAACGCCGCGUGAAGGAAGAAGGCCUUCGGGUUGUAAACUUCUUUGACCAGGGACGAAGGACGUGACUGUACCUGGAAAACAAGCCACGGCUAACUACGUGCCAGCAGCCGCGGUAAUACGUAGGUGGCGAGCGUUGUCCGGAUUUACUGGGUGUAAAGGGCGCGUAGGCGGGAGUACAAGUCAGAUGUGAAAUGCUGAGGCUUAACCUCAGAGCUGCAUUUGAAACUGUACUUCUUGAGUAUCGGAGAGGCAGGCGGAAUUCCUAGUGUAGCGGUGAAAUGCGUAGAUAUUAGGAGGAACACCAGUGGCGAAGGCGGCCUGCUGGACGACAACUGACGCUGAGGCGCGAAAGCGUGGGGAGCAAACAGG
rnacentral:rRNA from 3 species